rnacentral:rRNA from 1 species
CGGGACGGGUGAGUAACGCGUGGAUAACCUGCCCCAUACCGGGGGAUAACAGCCGGAAACGGCUGCUAAUACCGCAUAAGCGCACAGGAAUGCAUAUUCCAGUGUGAAAAACUCCGGUGGUAUGGGAUGGAUCCGCGUCUGAUUAGCUAGUUGGCGGGAUAGAGGCCCACCAAGGCGACGAUCAGUAGCCGACCUGAGAGGGUGGCCGGCCACAUUGGGACUGAGACACGGCCCAGACUCCUACGGAAGGCAGCAG